CUGAGUGUAAAAACUCCCAAACCCUAUGCAAACCUACCAAAGUUGCUUCGGCGGACCGCCCCGGGUGCCCUGCGCCCCCGGACCCAGGCGGCCGCCGGAGGCUCCAAACCCUGAAUUACAGUGGAUUUCUGAGUGGCAUAAGCAAAUAAAUCA
rnacentral:misc_RNA from 1 species